rnacentral:rRNA from 1 species
CCCGAUGCGCAGCUACACUGCAGUCGAGCGGGGGAGGUAGCUUGCUACUGGACCUAGCGGCGGACGGCCCUGAGUAAUGCUUAGGAAUCUGCCUAUUAGUGGGGGACAACAUUCCGAAAGGAAUGCUAAUACCGCAUACGUCCUACGGGAGAAAGCAGGGGACCUUCGGGCCUUGCGCUAAUAGAUGAGCCUAAGUCGGAUUAGCUAGUUGGUGGGGUAAAGGCCUACCAAGGCGACGAUCUGUAGCGGGUCUGAGAGGAUGAUCCGCCACACUGGGACUGAGACACGGCCCAGACUCCUACGGGAGGCAGCAGUGGGGAAUAUUGGACAAUGGGGGGAACCCUGAUCCAGCCAUGCCGCGUGUGUGAAGAAGGCCUUAUGGUUGUAAAGCACUUUAAGCGAGGAGGAGGCUACUAGUAUUAAUACUACUGGAUAGUGGACGUUACUCGCAGAAUAAGCACCGGCUAACUCUGUGCCAGCAGCCGCGGUAAUACAGAGGGUGCGAGCGUUAAUCGGAUUUACUGGGCGUAAAGCGUGCGUAGGCGGCCAUUUAAGUCAAAUGUGAAAUCCCCGAGCUUAACUUGGGAAUUGCAUUCGAUACUGGAUGGCUAGAGUAUGGGAGAGGAUGGUAGAAUUCCAGGUGUAGCGGUGAAAUGCGUAGAGAUCUGGAGGAAUACCGAUGGCGAAGGCAGCCAUCUGGCCUAAUACUGACGCUGAGGUACGAAAGCAUGGGGAGCAAACAGGAUUAGAUCCCCUGGUAGUCCAUGCCGUAAACGAUGUCUACUAGCCGUUGGGGCCUUUGAGGCUUUAGUGGCGCACCUAACGCCAUAAAGAAACCGCCCGGGGAGUACGGUCGCAAGACUAAAACUCAAAGAAAUUGACGGGGCCCGCACAACGGGGGAACAGGGGUUUAAUUCAUUGCACCGAAAA